AUGUCAUGUAGUUGGAGUCAUACAGCAUAAACUCUUUCCAUAUUGGCUUCUUUCACGCGGCAAAUGGGUCAAGUUUCUUCCUUGCCUGUUUGUGGCUUCAUAGCUCAUUUCUUUUGAUCUCUGUAAAUAUCACAUUGUCUGGAUGGACCAGUGUCUUUAUCCACUCACCUAUUGGAAGGCAUUUAAACUUUGACAGUUGUAAGUAAAGCGGCUAGAAGCAUUCGUGUGCAGGGUUUGGGGUGGAUGUAAAUGUUCAGCUCAUCUCAACCAGGCCUUUGGAUUCAAACUACUUGGAACCACACCCACCGCUGACUUUCCUGUGUCCCGGUCUGCGAAUGGCUGGUCGGCUGCGAAUGACUUCUCGGCCUUCGUAAUUGCAACUCUAAGUCUCAAUGAUGUUUUGCCUGUCGACUGGAACUGGAAUAUCUGACCGUAUUACAGUCUACACUCAGCAUGUGACAAACCGUUUCCAAAUCCUCUAAUAACAGGCUUCUAAUUCAGUAUGCCACGGGAUAAAUACUGCAGAUCUUUGACACUGAAGGAGAAAGCUUUCAGUAAUUUUAAGUCCAGGGAUGAUGAAUGUCAGAAAUGUAAUUUCUAAAAUUGGUAGUGGUGCUUUUAUUAAAUUCACUUCACACCGCGAAUGUCCUUCAAAGAACAUGCAAAAAAAAUGUUUUUUAAUCCAAUUAUUGUUUAUGACUAAAACCUAAGUUUCAACAGAAAUUCAGCUAAACUUUGAAACUCAGAGUUAAAACAUUAAGAAAAUGUUCUGCUCUUGUGUAUGGAUAGAUGAUAAUGUUGUAGACCAAUAGCGUUUGCCGUUUGUGACCAAAUAGUGGUAAAAAGUAAGGCCAUGAAUUACUGGGCUUUUGAUUAGCAUUAAAAUUCUGAAAAUUUAAAAAAAAAAAAAAAGGUGAGAGGGAGAGAGAAUGAAAAAAUGAAAGGAAGGGAAAGAGAAGAGGAAAGAAGGGAAGGAAAUCGGAAUUUGGAAGUUCCCUCGAGUGGCCUCACUCUCUCACAUCCCCCCGUGAUGCAAGGUGACGGUUUGGGCGGCUGGGGCCCCUCGCCAGCACUUGGCACCUUCAUUUCAGCCCUUCUGCCACCUGUGUGGUACGUGGUAACGGUUUUAACUUUCGUUUUCCUAGUGAGUAAAGAGGUUAAACAUCGUUUCCGGUACUUCUCAGUCGCAGGUGUAUCUUCUUUAGUGAAACGUCUGUUCGAAUGUUACGCUCAUUUAAAAAUACAGCCUUCAACUGCCAGCUCCCAAAUGGGGUUCAUAUUCACCCCCUCCCACACUCUCUAGUUCCGAUCCUCAUUUUCUCUUAUGGAGACUCCCUGCCCGUCUCCCAGCCACGGCCCGGCCACCUGCACUGCGCCCCCGCCACGCUACCAGAAGAAGCACGUCCACGCGUGGGGCUCACGUCCUCCCGUGCAGGCAUCACCAGAGGGUGCUGAGCGACAGGGUCUUUCCAUCGUCCUUCAGCUGCCACGUGGGCACCUUCUCGAUCUGCUGCUCCCCUGUCCGUUUCACCCUGGCGCCCAUCCCCUAUCCCCCUUCUCACUUUAUUUUCACCAACAUCAGCCUAAGUGCAGCCCCGGGGAAAGCCUCCUUGGAAGAGCAGGGGCUCUCCCACACUUUCGGCCCCUACAGGUAUGACUUCCACCCAGACUGUUUCUCCUCGAGUCAUACUGGAGCCACACUCUCUGAGCAGACUGGAGGUCCCUCUGCCCUCGUAAUUUUCCAUAACGCAAACAUCCCAUUGUAUUCUCAUGGUAUGUCUGUCUCCACACUAGACCGCAGGUCUCCUGAGGACAAAACUGCAUUCUGCCUUUGACCUCUGUCAUCUGAUGCGAGCCCGACCACAGUGGGCCACGUAUCGGGUGACCUGCCCCUGUGCUACUCCCCUGGGUACCAGGGCUCGGGGGAUAUAGCGUUGAUCCUGUUAAACCGCCCCACCCAGUCUGCAGGAACUGUCAUUGAACUGAACUCCCUAUGUGACCCCCAGCCCCAGAAUAACAACUGAUGACAGGAAAGAACAUGGUAAGACUCUCGGUCCUAAGGACACAGUGGCAGCCACAGGUGCCUGCGUGGAGCACUCCAGGGCCCCACCCUGAUUCACGACACAUUUUCUCCCUUCCGAUUUACAUACUUUCCUCACAGUCUAGGCUCCACGGCCUUCUCUAUAUUCUUUUUAUUUUGGUUAAGAAAUAAACAAUACAUAAAACUACAAAGUAUAACAUAACCACCCAGUAUAAAUAGUAACAUCCAAAAAACCAGAUCUGAUCUAUUUGCUUCAGUUUUCUCAAACAAGAAGAAAUGCCCAUCACAGAACAUGACAAUCACCUAGAUUCCCUCUUCAGUCCCCUCAUCUUCAAGGACAACCACAGUCAUGGGCUUAAUGAGUCUCCAAUCCAUAUUUUCAUACUUUUACGACACUCGCUCUCUGCAUGUGGUGUUGGUAGUGUUGCUUUGGGUUUCCUCACGACGGCAAACCCUGUAUUAUUCUCCAGUGAACUGUUCUCCCUCUUGCUUCCUUCCUUCCUUCACCUGAAUGUCAACUUCAGACCUUCAACUGAAGGUCUUCGGUUCUGGUGAGCCCACCCUGUCUUGAGGGUCACCUCGAAGCAAACCUCUGAUGAGCUUUUGUGGAGAGACGUGUCCGAAAUCACCAGGCCAAAGAAAUGCUGGGAAGGGUGCUGUUCUGUGACACCCACCGGUCUCAUGUCGGGCUCCCACACCAUCUCGUGUUUCUUGCUUCUUGGACUUUUGUGAUUAUUUUCUAGGAUAGACUUGAUUUCACCUUCUAUCUCUUCUACCACAUUUUUGUUCUCUCAUUUCCGAGAGUCACUGUCCUCGGAUAAUUUUGCUUUCAUGGCGUCCUGUUGUUAGUGUGGGUAUAAUAAACUUAUAUUUUUAAAAAUAGCUUCAUUGAGGUGUAAUGGACAUUCAAUGAACCGCAUGUAUUUAUAAAGCGUAUAACAUGAUGCAUACAGAUGUGAAACCAUCGCACAAGCAAGAUAAGGAGCAUCAACCCUGAAUGUAUCCUCUGGUCCUUUUGUAAAGCCCCCACCCGAGCCCCCACCCGCAGGCAAACGCUUCCCGUACCCAAUACAGCGUGUGUUCUUUUUUGUCUCGCCCUUUUCCGUCAGCAUGGUGACGCUGAGAUGUUAUUUUCCUGCUACUGUUCAUAGUUUCUUUCUCUCUUCCUGCGCAGUAGUAUUCCAUCGUAUGGAUAUACCACAAGACAGUCAUUCACCUGCCUACGGACAAUUGGGUUGUUUCCAGUUUGGGGCUGUUGCAAAUAAAGCUGCUAUGAUCAUUCACGUAAAUGUCUCUGUAUACAUUAUACGCUUUCAUUUCUCUUGGGCAAUUACCUAGGAGUGAA